UCCCUGGUGGCUCAGAUGGUAAAGAAUCUGCCUGCAAAGCAGGAGACCUGGGUUUGAUCCCUGGGUUGGGAA
rnacentral:tRNA from 1 species